CCUACGGCGGCAGCAGUGGGGAAUAUUGGACAAUGGGCGAAAGCCUGAUCCAGCCAUGCCGCGUGUGUGAAGAAGGCCUUCGGGUUGUAAAGCACUUUCAGUGGGGAAGAAAGCCUUGGGGCUAAUACCCUCGAGGAAGGACAUCACCCACAGAAGAAGCACCGGCUAACUCCGUGCCAGCGGCCGCGGUAAUACGGAGGGUGCGAGCGUUAAUCGGAAUUACUGGGCGUAAAGCGCGCGUAGGCGGUCUGAUAAGCCGGUUGUGAAAGCCCCGGGCUCAACCUGGGAACGGCAUCCGGAACUGUCAGGCUAGAGUGCAGGAGAGGAAGGUAGAAUUCCCGGUGUAGCGGUGAAAUGCGUAGAGAUCGGGAGGAAUACCAGUGGCGAAGGCGGCCUUCUGGACUGACACUGACGCUGAGGUGCGAAAGCGUGGGUAGCAAACAGGAUUAGAUACCCGAGUAGUC
rnacentral:rRNA from 1 species